rnacentral:pre_miRNA from 1 species
UUUAUACUCCCUCUGUUCCAAAAUUCUUGUCUUAGAUUUGUCUAGAGAUGAAUGUAUUUAGUCACGUUUUAGUAUUUUGAUACAUUCAUUUCUAAACAAGCUUAAAACAAAAUUUGGGACGGAAGGAGUAUAUG